CCGGUAAACGGCGGCCGUAACUAUAACGGUCCUAAGGUAGCGAAAUUCCUUGUCGGGUAAGUUCCGACCUGCACGAAUGGCGUAAUGAUGGCCAGGCUGUCUCCACCCGAGACUCAGUGAAAUUGAACUCGCUGUGAAGAUGCAGUGUACCCGCGGCAAGACGGAAAGACCCCGUGAACCUUUACUAUAGCUUGACACUGAACAUUGAGCCUUGAUGUGUAGGAUAGGUGGGAGGCUUUGAAGUGUGGACGCCAGUCUGCAUGGAGCCGACCUUGAAAUACCACCCUUUAAUGUUUGAUGUUCUAACGUUGACCCGUAAUCCGGGUUGCGGACAGUGUCUGGUGGGUAGUUUGACUGGGGCGGUCUCCUCCUAAAGAGUAACGGAGGAGCACGAAGGUUGGCUAAUCCUGGUCGGACAUCAGGAGGUUAGUGCAAUGGCAUAAGCCAGCUUGACUGCGAGCGUGACGGCGCGAGCAGGUGCGAAAGCAGGUCAUAGUGAUCCGGUGGUUCUGAAUGGAAGGGCCAUCGCUCAACGGAUAAAAGGUACUCCGGGGAUAACAGGCUGAUACCGCCCAAGAGUUCAUAUCGACGGCGGUGUUUGGCACCUCGAUGUCGGCUCAUCACAUCCUGGGGCUGAAGUAGGUCCCAAGGGUAUGGCUGUUCGCCAUUUAAAGUGGUACGCGAGCUGGGUUUAGAACGUCGUGAGACAGUUCGGUCCCUAUCUGCCGUGGGCGCUGGAGAACUGAGGGGGGCUGCUCCUAGUACGAGAGGACCGGAGUGGACGCAUCACUGGUGUUCGGGUUGUCAUGCCAAUGGCACUGCCCGGUAGCUAAAUGCGGAAGAGAUAAGUGCUGAAAGCAUCUAAGCACGAAACUUGCC
rnacentral:rRNA from 2 species